rnacentral:rRNA from 1 species
GAUGAACGCUGGCGGCGUGCCUAAUACAUGCAAGUCGAGCGAACGGACGAGAAGCUUGCUUCUCUGAUGUUAGCGUCGGACGGGUGAGUAACACGUGGAUAACCUACCUAUAAGACUGGGAUAACUUCGGGAAACCGGAGCUCAUACCGGAUAAUAUUUUGAUCCUCAUUGUUCAAAAGUGAAAGAUGGUCUUGCUGUCACUUAUAGAUGGAUCCGCGCUGCAUUAGCUAGUUGGUAAGGUAACGGCUUACCAAGGCAACGAUGCAUAGCCGACCUGAGAGGGUGAUCGGCCACACUGGAACUGAGACACGGUCCAGACUCCUACGGGAGGCAGAAGUAGGGAAUCUUCCGCAAUGGGCGAAAGCCUGACGGAGCAACGCCGCGUGAGUGAUGAAGGUCUUCGGAUCGUAAAACUCUGUUAUUAGGGAAGAACAUAUGUGUAAGUAACUGUGCACAUCUUGACGGUACCUAAUCAGAAAGCCACGGCUAACUACGUG